rnacentral:rRNA from 1 species
GACGAACGCUGGCGGCGUGCUUAACACAUGCAAGUCGAACGGGAACCUUUAUUUCGGUAAAGGUGAGAGUGGCAAACGGGUGAGUAACACGUAGGCAACCUGCCGACAGGAUGGGGACAACAUUCCGAAAGGAAUGCUAAUACCGAAUGGAGUCCGAGGAUGGCAUCAUCCUUGGAUAAAAGAUGGCCUCUGAAUAUGCUAUCGCCUGUCGAUGGGCCUGCGUCUGAUUAGCCAGUUGGCGGGGUAACGGCCCACCAAAGCGACGAUCAGUAGCCGGUCUGAGAGGAUGAACGGCCACAUUGGGACUGAGACACGGCCCAGACUCCUACGGGAGGCAGCAGUGGGGAAUCUUCCACAAUGGGCGAAAGCCUGAUGGAGCAACGCCGCGUGAGUGAAGAAGGUCUUCGGAUCGUAAAGCUCUGUUGCACGGGACGAAAACUGGGUUUGAAAACAUUGAACCUGGGGACGUACCGAGCGA